GGCCCCUAGGNUCNGAGNNGUAAUUUGUAGAGGAUGCUUUUGGUGAGGUGCCGCCCGAGUUCCCUGGAACGGGACGCCACAGAGGGUGAGAGCCCCGUCUGGCUGGCCACCGAGCCUCUGUAAAGCUCCUUCGACGAGUCGAGUAGUUUGGGAAUGCUGCUCAAAAUGGGAGGUAUAUGUCUUCUAAAGCUAAAUAUUGGCCAGAGACCGAUAGCGCACAAGUAGAGUGAUCGAAAGAUGAAAAGCACCUUGAAAAGAGGGUUAAACAGUACGUGAAAUUGUUGAAAGGGAAGCGCUUGUGACCAGACUUGGGCGCGGCGAAUCAUCCGGGGUUCUCUCCGGUGCACUUCGCCGUGUUCAGGCCAGCAUCAGUUCGGCGCGGGGGAAAAAGGCUUCGGGAACGUG
rnacentral:rRNA from 1 species